rnacentral:rRNA from 1 species
AUGAACGCUAGCUACAGGCUUAACACAUGCAAGUCGAGGGGCAUCGGGAAGAAAGCUUGCUUUCUUUGUCGGCGACCGGCGCACGGGUGAGUAACACGUAUCCAACCUGCCCUUUACUCGGGGAUAGCCUUUCGAAAGAAAGAUUAAUACCCGAUAGCAUAAUGAUUCCGCAUGGUUUCAUUAUUAAAGGAUUCCGGUAAAGGAUGGGGAUGCGUUCCAUUAGGUUGUUGGUGAGGUAACGGCCCACCAAGCCUUCGAUGGAUAGGGGUUCUGAGAGGAAGGUCCCCCACAUUGGAACUGAGACACGGUCCAAACUCCUACGGGAGGCAGCAGUGAGGAAUAUUGGUCAAUGGGCGCUAGCCUGAACCAGCCAAGUAGCGUGAAGGAUGAAGGCUCUAUGGGUCGUAAACUUCUUUUAUAUAAGAAUAAAGUGCAGUAUGUAUACUGUUUUGUAUGUAUUAUAUGAAUAAGGAUCGGCUAACUCCGUGCCAGCAGCCGCGGUAAUACGGAGGAUCCGAGCGUUAUCCGGAUUUAUUGGGUUUAAAGGGAGCGUAGGUGGACUGGUAAGUCAGUUGUGAAAGUUUGCGGCUCAACCGUAAAAUUGCAGUUGAUACUGUCAGUCUUGAGUACAGUAGAGGUGGGCGGAAUUCGUGGUGUAGCGGUGAAAUGCUUAGAUAUCACGAAGAACUCCGAUUGCGAAGGCAGCUCACUGGACUGCAACUGACACUGAUGCUCGAAAGUGUGGGUAUCAAACAGGAUUAGAUACCCUGGUAGUCCACACAGUAAACGAUGAAUACUCGCUGUUUGCGAUAUACAGUAAGCGGCCAAGCGAAAGCAUUAAGUAUUCCACCUGGGGAGUACGCCGGCAACGGUGAAACUCAAAGGAAUUGACGGGGGCCCGCACAAGCAGUGGAGUAUGUGGUUUAAUUCGAAGCAACGCGAAGAACCUUACCUGCUCUUGACAUCCCGCUGACCGGACGGUAAUGCGUCCUUCCCUUCGGGGCAGCGGAGACAGGUGGUGCAUGGUUGUCGUCAGCUCGUGCCGUGAGGUGUCGGCUUAAGUGCCAUAACGAGCGCAACCCUUAUCUUUAGUUACUAACAGGUCAUGCUGAGGACUCUAGAGAGACUGCCGUCGUAAGAUGUGAGGAAGGUGGGGAUGACGUCAAAUCAGCACGGCCCUUACGUCCGGGGCUACACACGUGUUACAAUGGGGGGUACAGAAGGCAGCUAGCGGGUGACCGUAUGCUAAUCCCAAAAUCCUCUCUCAGUUCGGAUCGAAGUCUGCAACCCGACUUCGUGAAGCUGGAUUCGCUAGUAAUCGCGCAUCAGCCACGGCGCGGUGAAUACGUUCCCGGGCCUUGUACACACCGCCCGUCACACCAUGAGAGUUGGGGAUACCCGAAGCCUGUGAGCUAACUUUUAGAGGCAGCAGUCGAAGGUAGAAUCAAUGAUUGGGGUG